rnacentral:rRNA from 1 species
GAUGAACGCUGGCGGCGUGCUUAACACAUGCAAGUCGAACGAAGCACUCUAUUUGAUUUUUUUCGGAAAUGAAGAUUUUGUGACUGAGUGGCGGACGGGUGAGUAACGCGUGGGUAACCUGCCUCAUACAGGGGGAUAACAGUUGGAAACGACUGCUAAUACCGCAUAAGCGCACGGUAUCGCUCGGUACAGUGUGAAAAACUCCGGUGGUAUGAGAUGGACCCGCGUCUGAUUAGCUAGUUGGUGGGGCAACGGCCUACCAAGGCGACGAUCAGUAGCCGACCUGAGAGGGUGACCGGCCACAUUGGGACUGAGACACGGCCCAAACUCCUACGGGAGGCAGCAGUGGGGAAUAUUGCACAAUGGGGGAAACCCUGAUGCAGCGACGCCGCGUGAACGAAGAAGUAUUUCGGUAUGUAAAGUUCUAUCAGCAGGGAAGAUAAUGACGGUACCUGACUAAGAAGCACCGGCUAAAUACGUGCCAGCAGCCGCCGUAA